UCCUCUGCAGGCUGAGCAGCCACAGCUCUCCCAGCCUGUGCCCACAGCAGAGCUUCUCCUGCCCUCAGCAUCUCCUUGGCCUCCUCUGGAUCCUCUUCAGCAGCUGCCUGACCUUCUUAUGCUGAGUGCACAAGAACUGGAUGCAGUACUCCAGGUAUGGUCUGAGCAGAGCAGAGGGGCAGAAUCCCCUCCCUGUGCUGCUGCUCUCCCUGCUCUGCCUCUGGCUGCCUCUGGGCUGCCAGUGACCAGUGCUGGCUCCUGGGCAGUUUGUCACCAGCUGACGCCCCCAAGGCCUUCUCCUGCAGGCUGCUCUCCAGCCACUCUUCCCAGCUAGGGAUUGCCCUGACCCUUGUGCAGGGCCUUGCUGUUGGCCUUGUUAACCUUCUCAAGGCUGGCCUGGGGUCAGCUCUGCAGUCAGUCCAAGUGGAUGCAUUCUAAUACCUUUAAAAAACCAAGAGAUGCUCUUCCUGCAGCAUAAAAAGCAGAGAGAGAGAGCUCGGGAGAGACUCCUCUGAGCAGAGCUGAGGCAGCCCUGGCAGCUGUGCAGCCUUUGGUGCUUUCCAGAGGAGAACAAUGACACCUAACGGCAGAGAACUUGGCUAAGCUUCGUCUUGAACAGAACAUUCCCUUAGGGAAGUGGGAGGUGGAACACACAGGAGCCAAAGUGUCACACUUGCCAACCCUCCCUGACCUCAGCAGCCCUUCUGAACGAGACAGCCUCUGCAGACACAGCCCCAGCUGAGCUUGCAGUGCUGUGCCAGCCUCAACCAUGCUCCAAACACUCAUCUUGCCUUUAUUAACACCCAGGAGUCCUUAGCAGCUGCAGAGCAAACAGAUCCCUGCUGGGUUCUGACAUCCAAAGAAGCCCUGCACAGGAGGAACUGCUUCAGCAGCCUUCAGUGUUGGAUCAUGGAGUCACAGAGUGGGCUGGGCUGGAAGGGAGCUCCAAAGGGCAGCCAGCCUCAGCCCCCUGCACUCAGCAGGGACAUCUUCCACUGCAGCAGGUUGCUCACAGCCUUCUCCAGCCUCACCUUGAGCAUCUCCAGCCGUGGGACCCCAACCACCUCCCUGGGCAGCCUGUGGCAGUGCUCCAGCAGCCUCCUGCUGCAGAACUUGUUCCUCAGCAAAAACCUGCUCUGGGGGAGCUUGCAUCAUCUUCUGCAUGGCUGGGCAGGCACCAGGCUGGGUGGGCACCAGGCUGGCUUGGCACCACUGAAGCCUUGUUCCUGCGCUGCACUCUGCGAAUCUGAGCUCGGACUGAGCUUGACUCUGCCCUACUGAGAUUGUGCUUGGCUGCUGGAGAACCUCAACCAACCAAACCAGCCCAGAAGUUCAAACCAGGCCCUGGUCCUGCCAGAACACUUCCUGCAGCAAGAAGACAGGAGGGUGAGCAAGCAGCUGCAGGUCUCAGAGCUGUGUUGUCUCCCUGCCUGGCUUCGUUCUGAUGGCUGCGGUGCUUUUGUCGGCGUUGAGCAUCCUACGCUGCAGGAGGAGAACACCACAGAGCUGGCUGAAGAGGAAGAUGAAGGAAGAAGAAAACAGAGG